AAUGAACGUUGGCGGCGUGGAUUAGGCAUGCAAGUCGAGCGAGUCUACCUUAUAGCAAUAUGAGGUAAGUCGAGCGGCGUAAGGGGCAGUAAUACCUGGGAACGUACCCUGAGGUCGGGGAUAGCUGCUGGAAACGGCGAGUAAUACCCGAUGAUCUUGGAAAAGCAAAGGCUUGCCGCCUUGGGAGCGGCCCAGGCGAUAUUAGCUAGUUGGUGGGGUAAUGGCCUACCAAGGCUUAGAUGUCUAGCGGGUGUGAGAGCACGACCCGCGCCACUGGCACUGAGACACUGGCCAGACACCUACGGGUGGCUG
rnacentral:rRNA from 1 species